rnacentral:rRNA from 1 species
AUACGGAGGGUGCGAGCGUUAAUCGGAAUUACUGGGCGUAAAGCGUGCGUAGGCGGUUGAUUUAGUCAGAUGUGAAAGCCCCGGGCUCAACCUGGGAACUGCAUUUGAAACUGGUCAACUGGAGUAUGGUAGAGGGGGGUAGAAUUUCUGGUGUAGCGGUGAAAUGCGUAGAUAUCAGAAGGAAUACCGAUGGCGAAGGCAGCCCCCUGGACCAAUACUGACGCUGAGGUGCGAAAGCGUGGGGAGCAAACAGGAUUAGAAACCCCGGUAGUCC